rnacentral:lncRNA from 1 species
GGGCGAACAGACAUGUAGUUGUAACCAGACAAGUUGGACACACAGGAACAGAGGGGUUGAGGGCCCUGCUCAAUGAGCUUACAUGCUAGAGGGAGUGGGGUAAAAUGACACAAAAGGCAAGGAUAGUAUUAGACUAGUGACAGUUGCAGAAGAGGAAUCAGUCAGGAGCUAAUAACAGUUUAAUUGAUACGCUUUUAUGAAGAAGUGGGUUUUUAAUGAUUUUUUGAAGGAGUGGAGACUGGGUGAGCAUCUAACGGAGGAGGGAAGCGAGUUCCAC